UAGGGAAUCUUCCGCAAUGGACGCAAGUCUGACGGAGCAACGCCGCGUGAGUGAAGAAGGAUUUCGGUUCGUAAAACUCUGUUGUUAGAGAAGAACAGCGCAUAGAGUAACUGUUAUGCGUGUGACGGUAUCUAACCAGAAAGCCACGGCUAACUACGUGCCAGCAGCCGCGGUAAUACGUAGGUGGCAAGCGUUGUCCGGAGUUAUUGGGCGUAAAGCGAGCGCAGGCGGUCAAUUAAGUCUGAGGUGAAAGCCCCCGGCUCAACCGGGGAGGGUCAUUGGAACCUGGUUGACUUGAGUGCAGAAGAGGAGAGUGGAAUUCCAUGUGUAGCGGUGAAAUGCGUAGAUAUAUGGAGGAACACCAGUGGCGAAGGCGACUCACUGGUCUGUAACUGACGCUGAGGUUCGAAAGCGUGGGUAGCAAACAG
rnacentral:rRNA from 1 species